rnacentral:lncRNA from 1 species
UCUGCCUCCCAAGUGCAUUAAAGGCCUUCGCCACCACGCCGGGCUUUGAUAGAACAUCUUAACUCCCCGCCUAGCCAGGGCAACUGAGAAGUAGAGGGGAGGUGACUGAAGGUUGGAAACCACCAAAAAUGGAGUCCUGGUCAGGAGGAUUUGCAGAGCACUCCUGCGAGCUAACCACUGACUUCAGGCUGCGUGGGCUCAAGGGAGGGGCUCGGGGCCCAGACCAGCUAAGUUUAGUUUCACGGCCCAUCACCAUCCACAUGCAUCCUGGAGCUGGGAAGUGUUUUCUUUUGCCUUGAAUAGUCCCAUCUACAGGCCCAAACCAAUAUGCAUAGCGUGAUUAAUAAAACCAUUCCCGCUGGCUUCCCUCUCAGAUGAUGCAAAAGUGAAUAUCUUCAUGCCUUUCUUUUCCUUUUCUUCCCCUUUCAUUGACCAUUUCCUCAAAGAGUUUAUUACUUAGCCAAACUGUACUGUGACUUCCUCUGUAUUAUAUUAGAACUUUCCAGAAAGUUGAUAAUGAAGCUGGGCGUGCUAAUCCAUUCCCAUAAAUCCAAAGUUGGGAAGUCGAGGCAGUAGAAACAGGAACUUUUUAAAGCUGACCUGGGCCGUUGGGACCCUGCCACCCAUACAUGGGGAAAUGUGUCCCUUCAUAAAGACUCCUGACAUAAAGUCAAGCGUGGCAAUCUAAGCUUAGAUCCCCAGCCAGCACUCACCUAAAAGCCAGGUUCGACUGUGCCCAUCUGUAAUCCACGUGCAGGAGGGAGGAGAAGAGAGGCCUGUCAUUGGAUGUCAUUUUCUGGACUCCACAUGCACAUGCAGAUACACACACAUACACACAAACACUAAUAGUGAUAGUUUUUAAAAAGUUAAUAAUGGGAUGGAGAGUUGGCUCAUAAGCUAAGCGCACUUGUUGCUCUUGCAGAAAACCCAAGUUAGAUUCCCAGCAACAACACGCUAGUUCACAACCAUCUAUAAUUCUACUUCCAAGGGAUCCAGAACUCCCUUCUGGCCUCCGAGGAUACCACACGUAUGGCACAUAUAUAUGUUUGCAGGCAAAACACUCAUACACUGGAAAUGAAAAAUAAUUGUUUUUAAAGUUAGUAAUAACAAUCUAGUAACAAUUCAAGUAGUUAGGACUUGAAUGUCUACUACUCUUAGGCACUGAUCUGGGCUCAGAAAGAGGUCCUGCCCUCACAGACCUCCCAGUCUAAGUCAGGAGGCCAGGAGUAACCCCAUCGUUGUUUAACACAAGUGGCACACUGAAAACCAGCACAGAGCAAACAGUGCCCCUAAUGUGAGGAUGACAUCAGAUUUAUAGCUCCCAUAGGGCUGGAGAUAAUGGCGUGUGGAGUGACUUUACUACUGAAUUACCUUAAAGAGUAGUCCCUGGGGACUGCAUUGCCUUUUGGGGUUUAGAGUUAACCUGCAGUGUUCCUUCCCCUCCCCUACUGAUCAAGGUGAAGUUAGUGGAAGUGAAGAAGUAAUUACAAACUUAAGGACUGGCAAGAUGGCUCAGCCAGCCGUGUGCUGGUUAGCUCUUUGACAUCUUGACACAAGCAAGCCAGGGUCAUCUGUUAACGGGGAACUUGAAGUGAGAGGAUGGCUCCAUCAGAUUGGCCUGCCAGCAAGUCUGGAGGACAUUUUCCUGAUUUGUUUGAUGUGGGAGGCCCUGCCCACUGUGGGCGGUGCCAGCAAGCAGGUUGAGCAAGCCCGGAGGAGCAAGCCAGUAAGCAACAUUUCCCAUAGCUUCUGUUUUCAGGUCCUGCCUCCAGGUUCCUUCCCUGGUUUCCCUUGGUUAUAGACAAUGUUGCCAAAAGACUCUUUCCUCCCUAAAUUGCUAACUAAGAUAACUAGGGUGAAGGUACUUGCCACCAAGCCUGAUGACUUGAGUUUGACCACCACAUGGUGGGAGGAGAGGACCUGCUCAUCUCGGAGCAGCCAGAUCUUGGGGUACAGAAUUUAGCAUUGAGUACAGAGCAGCACCAGACCAACCCACUACAUUCCCCACUUUCUAUCUAAAUAAAAAGGCUCUUUCUCUUAUAAUAAUAAACAUACAGAAGGAACAAUCAUGAAACAAUUAUGAAAACUAUUAAAUGAGAGUUACAUUCAAAAAGUCCAGUCUUUUAGUAUUUGGCAGUGUUUAGAUAAAAUAUUUUAUUGUGUACCCUAUCUUGAUAAGUUCAGAUUUCUCUAUCUAAAUCAUUUUUUCAUUACCAUCUUAAGCAUUUUAAGUUCUCUAAUUUCAUAACUUAGAGUUAGCAACCUUAAGACAUCCAUUUAUAAUUUCCCCUAAUCUUCAUAAUUUGUGUGUAUCACAUCCUGAAAAACAUCUCCUUAGAUCUUAAAACGCUUUCGAGAUCCUUUCUAGUUUAACUGUGAGACUAUAGCUAUCUAGUGUUCAAUUCCAUCAGAGCCCUGAGAAGGGAUAAACAUUACCUGAGCAUGCAGGAAAUGCAGAGCAGCAGCUUCCAAGAGUACAGCAAUGGCGGACAGCCGACUCAGGCUCCGAGCCACGUAACCCUCUUGUCUCUUCAUGUCUGAAGUAACAGUAAGAGCCUGGUGUAGAAGUGAAGGCGGCUGUGGUUCAAAGCCAAUAGAAAAGGAGGUGUAGGCUGCUGGGCGUGUAGCUCGUCGGUAGAGCAUUCACUUGGCAUGUGUGAAAUCCUGAGUUCACUCCUCAGCACCACGGAAAGCAGGAAUGAUGCUACCACACCUGCAGUCCUAGUACCCGAGAGGCAGAGGCAGGUAGAUCAGGAACUCAAGGCCAGCCUGAGCUAGAGACUGGGAAGGAAGAGGAGGGAGGGGGAAAAGG